UGUAGUUGUAGCUCGCUGAUACGGGGGUGGUUCCGAAGCCUCUAGAAGGUUAACAUAGGCUCUCCACCUCCUACUCCUACUCAAUACGUCCCCGUCGUACAGAACGGUAACUUGUCUCUCAAUUAUCCAAGCUUGGAUAUACGGGGAAACCCAACCCCUUGUGCGGAUGGGUUGCAUGGCUAAAUUGAGAGGG
rfam:Anopheles arabiensis strain DONG5_A unplaced genomic scaffold supercont1.161, whole genome shotgun sequence.